rnacentral:rRNA from 1 species
CAGCCGCCGCGGGAAUACGUAGGUGGCAAGCGUUGUCCGGAAUUAUUGGGCGUAAAGCGCGCGCAGGUGGUUUAAUAAGUCUGAUGUGAAGGCCCACGGCUCAACCGUGGAGGGUCAUUGGAAACUGUUAAACUUGAGUGCAGGAGAGAAAAGUGGAAUUCCUAGUGUAGCGGUGAAAUGCGUAGAGAUUAGGAGGAACACCAGUGGCGAAGGCGGCUUUUUGGCCUGUAACUGACACUGAGGCGCGAAAGCGUGGGGAACAAACAGGAUUAGAUACCCCGGUAGUCCCUGUCUCUUAUAC